rnacentral:lncRNA from 10 species
AUCAGUUCUUCUAUGUGUGUCUAGUAGAAUUUGGCUGUGCAUCUACCUGCUCCAGGGCUUUUUCUUGGUUGCCAGGUGAAGAUUUUCCUGCUUCCCCAUUGCCUUCUGCCAUGAUUGUAAGUUCCCCGAGGCCUCCUCAGCCAUGCUUCCCAAACAGCCUGUGGAACGAGAAAAGGCCAUGUGAUGACCUGGUGAGAAGGUGGCAAUCUGCAAGCCAAGAAGAGGGCUUUCACCGGAAACAAACUCUUCCAGAUCUUAAUUGUGGAUUUCUAGCCUCCAGAAUGAUAUUCUUUCAGAUACUGUGUACUGAUGAAACUGCUGACUCAGCUGGUCUGAAGGACCCCACUGGCACUGGCUGGUCUGAAGGACCCUGCUGAUCACAACUUGCCUGAAGGACCCUACUGACAUCAGCUGUUGUCCAAAGGACGCCACAAGAAACUGACUCACCAAAAAAUGCAUCCUGAUGAUUUCAUCCCCCUUAACCCGACCAAUCAACAACCCCAAAUCUACACAGCCCCUUUCCCUCCAUGAUUCCUACAAAACUCCAGCCCAGAACUCCUCAGGGAGAUGGAUUUGAAGGUCUCCUCCCUUCUACUUGCUUGAUGCCCUAUUAUUAUUAAACUCUUUGCUACAAACCCUGCUG